AACGCACAUUGCGCCCCCUGGCAUUCCGGGGGGCAUGCCUGUCCGAGCGUCAUUUCUGCCCUCAAGCACGGCUUGUGUGUUGGGUGUGGUCCCCCCGGGGACCUGCCCGAAAGGCAGCGGCGACGUCCGUCUGGUCCUCGAGCGUAUGGGGCUCUGUCACUCGCUCGGGAAGGACCUGCGGGGGUUGGUCACCACCAUAUUUUACCACGGUUGACCUCGGAUCAGGUAGGAGUUACCCGCUGAACUUAA
rnacentral:misc_RNA from 2 species